UGUAGUCUCAUUAUCUAUUUUUAUUAAGUAGACAAAAGCAGAGUAAACUAUAUAUGGAAAGAAAGAAGAGAAACUGAAACAAUUCAAAAGACUUUUAAAUUUUAGGUGCUAAUCACCUGUAAGAAUAUGCCAAGUUCGCUCACAAAUGUUGCUUCUUUAAAGCAGAGACUAGCAUAAUAAACUAUACCAAGGAACUCAAGAAAAAUCAUACUUAUUGUUAGUCUGUUGUGUGUAAAAUCCUUUUUCUGUAGCGAUGGCAGUUAUUAAAUUAGCAGGUGUAACGUCGAAAGCUGGGGAAUACACGUCAAUCCCAGGAGCAGCAAUAGAAAUUCGAACACGCUUUGGAUCCUCUAGAUUUCGGCUGUUAGAGUCUGUGAUUAUGGGGCCUGUAAUCGUGGUCAUUUCAAUCGGAGGUCGCUGUUCAAUGGUAAUCUGAGAACCAGACGCUAAACUAGUGUCAAUUGAAGAAAAGGGAGCAGCCACUAUGAAAGGCUUUCCAAAGUGUUUUGCCAAAAUAGCAAGAUUAUAUGUGCCAAUCUUGUUUGCAGUAUCGCCAUUACGAGUAACGCGGUCGGCGCCGACGACAAUGGCAUCGAUUUUGUGCAUAAUUGAAGCAACCGUGGAAUCUGUGACUAGAGUUGCUGGAAUUUUAUCAUGAACCAACUCAAAAGCAGUGAGACGAGAGCCUUGGUUAUAAGGGCGAGUUUCUGUACAAUAAGCGUGUUCCAAGUUCCCCGAUUCGUGUAAACUACGAAUGAUCCCCAAAGCUGUACCAUAACCUGAGGUAGCUAAAGAUCCAGUGUUGCAAUGGGUCAAAACGGUGAGCUUGUCUUUAUCUUUGUAAUGCUGCAACAAGAAUUUUCGGCCAGCAGUUCCAAUAUUGUGGUUGUCUUCUAAAUCUUUUACUAGCAUACGCUCCGCUUCCUGAAUAAUUUUAUUUCGACAAUUUUUUCCUUCUUGAAGAGCAAUGCCUUGCAUAAACUUUGCAGUUUCAAAAAGAUUGACAGCGGUAGGACGAGACUGUUUGAGAUGCUCAAAGCUAUUUAUAACAUAUUCUUUUGCAUCUGCAUCUUCAGAAAGAUGUUUUAAUCCGACAGCCACACUCAAAGCUGCUACAAUAGCAAUAGCUGGGGCCCCACGAACUUGCAUUUUUUUUAUGACAGCGAAUGCGUCUUCUACAUUACUAACUGAAAUGUAUUUACGCUCGUACGGAAGAAGUAAUUGGUCUAAUACAAGAAGCUUGUCCUCAUUAUAAAUGAUUGCUUGCAACGACAUUCUGCCCAAAUUUUUGAAUAUCUCUGCCUUUGAAAACUUUUACUUCACUAGCGCACGAACGCACAUGCAUCAGAUAAAAUUAAAGGAUUUGAUGAAGCUCGUAGCGAUGCAUUAAUAGAAAUAAU